GGUGGUAUAGGCCUAUAAUCCCUGCUACUGAGAGCCUAAGGUUGAUGGAUUAUUUGAGCUCUGGAGUUCUGAGCUGUAGUAGGACCAAAGCUGAUUGAGUAUUCAUGCUAAAUAUAGCAACAAUAUGGUUACCUAAGGAGAGGUACACCAGCCCAGACUGGAAAUGGAGCAAGUCAAUACUUCUGUGACAAUCAGUAGGGGGAAUUGGGCCCAUGAGUGGCCCCUACACUUUCAGCCAGGGUGAGCUGGAGAGACUCAGUUUCU
rnacentral:SRP_RNA from 1 species